rnacentral:rRNA from 1 species
GAUGAACGCUGGCGGCGUGCCUAAUACAUGCAAGUCGAGCGGAAGGACGAUAAGCUUGCUUCUUUGUUGUUAGCGGCGGACGGGUGAGUAACGCGUGGAUCCCCUACCUAUAAGACUGGGAUCAUCUCGGGAAAGCGGCGCUUAUACCAGAUAAUCUUUUGAUGCGUAUGGUUCAAUAGUGAAAGUCGGUCUUGCUGUCACUUAUAGAUGGAUCCGCGCUGCAUUAGCUAGUUGGUAAGUUAAAAGCUUAUCAAGGGAACGAUGCGUAGCCGAGGGGAGAGGGUGAUCGGCCACACUGGAACUUAGACACGGUCCAGACUCCUACGGGAGGCAGCAGUAGGGAAUCUGCCGCAAUGGGCGAAAGCCUGACGGAGCAACGCCGCGUGAGUGAUGAAGGUCUUCGGAUCGUAAAACUCGGUUAUUAGGGAAGAACAUAUGUGUAAGUAACUGUGCACAUCUUGACGGUACCGAAUCAGAAAGCCACGGCUAACUACGUG